GGACUGGAAGUAUGUAGCCAUGGUGAUCGACCGGCUCUUCCUCUGGAUUUUUAUCCUGGUGUGUGUCGUCGGCACACUCGGACUCUUUGUUCAGCCUCUCUUUCAGAGCUACAACACCCCCGUGGCAGAGGAAGAAUAUGGGGAUUUCUAAAAUAUCUGCUGAGUGAUCCUGUGACUUUGGGGCGUACCUGUUGUCUGAGCUUUGACGUAUCACAAACACAUAUCCACAUUAACGUUCAGCAGAACAGAACCAUUGUGGGGCGAAUUCACUAAACAGUUACAUUAGCGUAUGGUGUUUCAGCGCAAAAUCACAAACCACCCGCAAUCCAUUUUAAGCAGCAUUGUGCAUUUACAUUCAUUCUUUUCUUGGCAAACCGCCUUUCUAUGCAAAUUAGGCUUCUUAUAGCAUGUGUAUUCAAAAAAUGAGUGCUGUGUAACUGGUACAAUUAACGUUGCGCUAUUAUCGCCCGUAGAAAGCUGGCUGUAAACACAAUUGUAUGUAAAACAGACAUUUGUUUAAAUUUUCUACUGAUCAUGGUAGCAGUAAAUUAUCAAAUGAUGAUUAAUUGGAGUAGAGCGUUAUAAUCAGCCAUAAAACCAGCCAUUACUCGAUUUGCAUAAUUCCUUUAGAUGCAGAUAAACACAUCUGCUGGUUCUGUUCCUUCUUAGUGAAUUCCCUCUGUGUGUCACAUGACAAACAGUCUCAAAGCUAUAAACCAAUGAUCCCGUUUCUUUAAUUAAAGGUGCUGUAUGUCAUUUUUUGACUGUAGUAAAGCAUACAAAUACCAUAAUAGAUUUGCAGAUAUUUA